rnacentral:rRNA from 1 species
AACGAACGCUGGCGGCAUGCCUAACACAUGCAAGUCGAACGAGACCUUCGGGACUAGUGGCGCACGGGUGUGUAACGCGUGGGAACCUGCCCUUAGGUUCGGAAUAACUCCCCGAAAGGGGUGCUAAUACCGGAUAAUGUCUUCGGACCAAAGAUUUAUCGCCUUUGGAUGGGCCCGCGUUGGAUUAGCUAGUUGGUAGGGUAAAAGCCUACCAAGGCGACGAUCCAUAGCUGGUCUGAGAGGAGGAUCAGCCACACUGGGACUGAGACACGGCCCAGACUCCUACGGGAGGCGGCAGUGGGGAAUAUUGGACAAUGGGCGAAGGGCUGAUCCAGCAAGGCCGGGUGAGUGAUGAAGGCCUUAGGGUUGUAAAGCUCUUUUACCCGGGAUGAUAAUGACGGUACCGGGAGAAUAAGCUCCGGCUAACUCCGUG